CAGUUAGAGCUUUCUAGACCAGACUUCCCUUUGUCUGAGUAUCCAGUGCGUCGCCCGACGUCUGCCGUGCAUGACGUGUCCCUUCGAACAUCAGUUGGGGCGCCGCCCUCCGGAGCUCUAGAGCCUCUAGAGCCCAACAGUUUGAGAUCCAGGUCCCUGGUGGUGGAAGCUUCAUCAGCAGACUGAUGAUGUACCAGCUAGCAGUCGCAUCACACCUGCCGAGCUGGUGCUUGAUGCCACCAGGGAACCGAGCUCCGUUCUGCGAAGACCAAGGUCUCAUGCGUUCAGGCAGGCUCCAUCAUCAGCCCACUGCCUCCGAAGAUCUUCAAAAAUAAACUUCACUUAUUUUGUCACCACUAAUGCUUUGGAAAAAAGAAUGCAACCUUUUUUUCAUUGCAUUUUAAUGUCUGACGAAAUGAGGAAGAAUUUUGUGAUGAGAUAGCUAAGGCAGGCGCGGAUCUGAAAGGACCAUUUUCAGGACCAGGAGAUGGUCCUUUGGUCCGCGCCUAAAUAUUAAAGUGUCGCCCCUAAUUUGGUGACCAAUGUAUUGCUUUGGAAAAAAAAAUCCAUUGCGUUUUAAUGGUUGCUAAAACGAGUCUUUGGCUUGAGACUAUACAAGGGGUAUCUGGGUUUAUAUUUGUUAAAUAUGGACUCUUUUACUCCUCACAAGGGGAGGGGAGAAGAGGGGUUCACAAGAGCAUAAGUAAUGUGCGACACAUUGCUGGUACUCUUAACACUAAUUUACCUAAAAUCGUCUACCACUCUUCUCCUUUCUGAUAGCUAUAAGAAUAAGUUAAAUAGACGGAAAAUUUCGUGUAAUACAUUUAUAAUAAAAAAUCGC
rnacentral:lncRNA from 1 species